rnacentral:rRNA from 1 species
GUGGCGGACGGGUGAGUAACGCGUGGGUAACCUGCCUUGUACUGGGGGACAACAGUUGGAAACGACUGCUAAUACCGCAUAAGCGCACAGCUUCGCAUGAAGCAGUGUGAAAAACUCCGGUGGUACAAGAUGGACCCGCGUCUGAUUAGCUGGUUGGCGAGGUAACGGCCCACCAAGGCAACGAUCAGUAGCCGGCCUGAGAGGGUGAACGGCCACAUUGGGACUGAGACACGGCCCAAACUCCUACGGGAGGCAGCAUG